rnacentral:rRNA from 1 species
GAUGAACGCUGGCGGCGUGCCUAAUACAUGCAAGUCGAGCGAACAGACGAGGAGCUUGCUCCUCUGACGUUAGCGGCGGACGAGUGAGUAACACGUGGAUAACCUACCUAUAAGGCUGGGAUAACUUCGGGAAACCGGAGCUAAUACCGGAUAAUAUAUUGAACCGCAUGGUUCAAUAGUGAAAGACGGUUUUGCUGUCACUUAUAGAUGGAUCCGCGCCGCAUUAGCUAGUUGGUAAGGUAACGGCUUACCAAGGCAACGAUGCGUAGCCGACCUGAGAGGGUGAUCGGCCACACUGGAACUGAGACACGGUCCAGACUCCUACGGGAGGCAGCAGUAGGGAAUCUUCCGCAAAGGGCGAAAGCCUGACGGAGCAACGCCGCGUGAGUGAUGAAGGUCUUCGGAUCGUAAAACUCUGUUAUUAGGGAAGAACAAAUGUGUAAGUAACUAUGCACGUCUUGACGGUACCUAAUCAGAAAGCCACGGCUAACUACGUG